UCCUUGGCUUGAAUUCUUUCCAUCAACAUCAACAAAGUAAUCAUCUCAUCACAAUGUCUUGCCAAAAUGCGUUCAUAGGAGUACUAUUAAGUAUUAAAUAUUCCAAGCUAGGAAGUGCCUAAACUUACUAACCAGGAUUACCUUGUUAAUUAUAUCUGUAGGGUUCUCAUGUAUAAACACCUUCUGUAUGACUACAGUACUUAUAAUACAAUAUCUCAAAUGAAGUGAUAUUUGACAUAAAUUUCUUCACCCAUAACACUAACCCACUUAUUUACAUUCGUACUAGAAAUAGCUUCCUUGUACCUACCUCAUUCCUAUAAAUCAACUGUCUCUGCAAGUGACAAGGCGUAUGUAAUUAGAUGUCUAUACCUCUGU
rnacentral:lncRNA from 1 species